rnacentral:rRNA from 1 species
AGACGGGGGGGGCGAGCGUUGCCCGGAAUCACUGGGCUUAAAGGGGGCGUAGGCGGCUGGGUGUGUCGGGUGUGUAAUCCACCGGCUCAACCGGUGGGCUGCACUCGAUACUACCUGGCUAGAGGGCGUCAGAGGGGACCGGAACGCCCGGUGUAGCGGUGAAUGCGUGGAUAUCGGGCGGAACGCCGGUGGGGAAGCCGGGUCCCUGGGGCGACCCUGACGCUGAGGCCCGAAAGCCAGGGGAGCGAAGGGGAUUAGAAACCCUAGUAGUCC